UCUCCGUUGGUGAACCAGCGGAGGGAUCAUUACAGGACUCGCAAGACUCCUACAACCCUGUGAACUUAACUAUAAGCACGUUGCUUCGGCGGGUGUCUCGGAGGGGGUUCUCCCUCCCCGAGACGCUAAACCCGCCGGCAGCCUACUAUACUCUGUCUCUUUGCGUUGGCAUCUCGAGUACAAUCAAACAAGUUAAAACUUUCAACAACGGAUCUCUUGGUUCUGGCAUCGAUGAAAACGCAGC
rnacentral:misc_RNA from 1 species